rnacentral:tRNA from 5 species
GGACCUGUAGCUCAGGUGGUUAGAGCGCACCCCUGAUAAGGGUGAGGUCGCUGGUUCAAGUCCAGCCAGGUCCA